GAACGAAAGAAAGAAAGAAAGAAAGAAACAUCAGAUCGGUUUAAAGUCACUAGAAAAAACGUGGUGCUUUUAUAAUCAUUUGUAUUUUGACUUCUCUCCCGUU
rnacentral:ribozyme from 1 species